rnacentral:rRNA from 1 species
GACGAACGCUGGCGGCGCGCUUAACACAUGCAAGUCGAGCGAGAACCAGGGCUUCGGCCCUGGGGACAGCGGCGAACGGGUGAGUAACACGUGGGUAAUCCACCCUCGGCACCGGAAUAGCCCGGGGAAACCCGGAUUAAUGCCGGAUGGCCCGCCGGCCCCGAGGGGCUGGCGGAAAAGGUAGCUUCGGCCUCCGGCCGGGGACGAGCCCGCGACGGAUUAGCUUGUUGGUGGGGUAACGGCCUACCAAGGCUGCGAUCCGUAGCUGGUCUGAGAGGACGAUCAGCCACACUGGGACUGAGACACGGCCCAGACUCCUACGGGAGGAAGCAGUGGGGAAUCUUGCGCAAUGGGCGAAAGCCUGACGCAGCGACGCCGCGUGGGGGAAGAAGGCCUUCGGGUUGUAAACCUCUUUCAGGAGGGACGAAGCCACUCGGGUUAAUAGCCCAGAGGGUGACGGUACCUCCAGAAGAAGCCCUGGCUAACUACGUGCCAGCCGCCGCGGUAACAC